GACGUAGGGCGCGAGCGUUGUCCGGAUUUAUUGGGCGUAAAGAGCUCGUAGGCGGCUUGUUGCGUCGGCUGUGAAAACCCGCAGCUCAACUGUGGGCUUGCAGCCGAUACGGGCAGGCUUGAGUUCGGUAGGGGAGACUGGAAUUCCUGGUGUAGCGGUGAAAUGCGUAGAUAUCAUUUGGAACGCCAAGGGCGAAAGCAGGCAGCUGGGGUUGUGCCGACGCUGAGACACGAAAGCCAGGGGAGCGAACGGG
rnacentral:rRNA from 1 species